AAUCCUGCCAGGAGUUUCCGUGAGGUUUUUUCAGUGGGAUUAUUUGUGUCCCUGUGGCUCUUCAGGGAGCUUGCAGAAUUCUAGCUAAAGAUAAGAAGGGCAUCGCUUCAAAUGGGAGGCCAAUCAAUGCAGCAUUAGGAAGGCUUCAUUCAGCUCAGCACCACCUUGGUGAAGAUCCCGGUGUUACACAUCCAAUCGUUCACCUCCUUCCAAGACUAUGACAUUCCAGGAAACCUUCACUGCUAAGAGGAACUAAGAUCUAGAGUAUCUCCUCGAGGAAGUACAACUGGUAAUUAAUAAGAAGUCCAGUGGCUCACACCUGCGAUCCCAGCACUUUGGGAGGCUGAGAUGGGCAGAUUGCUCGAGCCCAGGAAUUCAAGACCAACCUGGGCAACAUGGCAAAACCCCAUCUCUACAAAAAUACAAAAAUUAACCAGAUGUGAUGGUUCAUGCCUGUAGUCCCAGCUACUCUGGAGGCUGAUGUGGGAGGAUCGCUUGAGCCUAGGAAGUCAAGGCUGCAGUGAGUCAUGAUUGCUCCGCUCCACUGCACUCUGGCCUUGAUGAUAGAGUGAGAACCAGUCUCAAAAAAAAAAAGGUCAUUUUCUAAGCAUUUGUUGAUUCAAUACUGCCCACUAUGUACACUGACAAUUAGACAUAAUUUAAUUUCAGCUCAUGGUAUGAAUGGAGACAAAAUGAAAUCAUUUUAAUGCACAUUAAGGCAAUAUAGUGCCCUUAAAUAAAAAGUUGAAGUUCAUAAGGGACCAUCAUUAAGAUUUAACUUUGUAACAAAUAUUUUGUUUUUGUUUGUUUUAUUUUUAGAUUUGCAUAAUAAAACAUUCAUAUUCUU
rnacentral:lncRNA from 1 species